AGACUCCAUUUGGGGUCGGCCGGCUUCCAGGUUGCGCAAGGCAGACACACAAAACCCAAAGUCAAGUUGGAAAA
rnacentral:lncRNA from 1 species